rnacentral:rRNA from 1 species
UACAGAGGGUGCGAGCGUUGUUCGGAAUUACUGGGCGUAAAGCGCGCGCAGGCGGCUCUUUAAGUCUGACGGUGAAAUGCCGGGGCUCAACCCCGUGCCCGCCGCGGAUACUGGAGAGCUGGAGACACGUAGAGGCAAGCGGAAUUCCGGGUGUAGCGGUGGAAUGCGUAGAGAUCCGGAAGAACACCGGAGGCGAAGGCGGCUUGCUGGGCGUAGUCUGACGCUGAGGCGGCGAAAAGCUAGGGGAGCAAACAGG